rnacentral:rRNA from 1 species
UGAACGCUGGCGGUAGGCCUAACACAUGCAAGUCGAACGGCAGCACAGUAAGAGCUUGCUCUUACGGGUGGCGAGUGGCGGACGGGUGAGGAAUACAUCGGAAUCUACUUUUUCGUGGGGGUUAACGUAGGGAAACUUACGCUAAUACCGCAUACGACCUACGGGUGAAAGCAGGGGAUCUUCGGACCUUGCGCGAUUGAAUGAGCCGAUGUCGGAUUAGCUAGUUGGCGGGGUAAAGGCCCACCAAGGCGACGAUCCGUAGCUGGUCUGAGAGGAUGAUCAGUCACACUGGAACUGAGACACGGUCCAGACUCCUACGGGAGGCAGCAGUGGGGAAUAUUGGACAAUGGGCGCAAGCCUGAUCCAGCCAUACCGCGUGGGUGAAGAAGGCCUUCGGGUUGUAAAGCCCUUUUGUUGGGAAAGAAAAGCAGCAGGUUAAUACCCCGCUGUUCUGACGGUACCCAAAGAAUAAGCACCGGCUAACUUCGUG